rnacentral:lncRNA from 1 species
AUAACAUAUAUCAUAUUUUUUAUUGCUUAUGAUUGGAUAUGUGAACUGUUGAAAUGAAUUUGUUAUGGCUUAAAAUCAAGAAUUGAAACGAAAAAUUAUUGGCCAGACUAGUUUGGUUUCAACUUGAAUUGUCUUUUUGGUACCAUUGAAACGAUAAAUUUUAAAAAUUGAACCUUGAUAAAUAAUCAGUUCUUUUAUUGAUUUUUAGGUACUUCUGUUGUUACUAUUGGUUGCCGAUCUAUUAGUCUAUGUUAUCUAUCUGUCCCCAGUGGCAUUCUAUACUCUUCCGUUUAGGAUUGCACCCUAUAUACGGGUUGUAUUUUUCAUCCUGAACAUCAGGUAUGGUAUGGGUAGUUGGAUACCCUAUUACAGUUUUUCUCCUGCAUUAUGUUCUCAUUUGUGCUUUCUGGAUUUUUCGUCUUUCCCUGGGGUGCUAUGUCCCAUUAGGAUUUAUACAUUGGUUUUGGAAUAACUCUUCCUGAUUACAAAGUUCCAUCUUCUAGCUGGCACGCUCUUGAACAUUGAAAUCCUAUUGUUGUCUUUUGGACUAAGGUUUGGGAUUAUCAUUUGGUGGAAAAGUUUGCCUGUCAAUUCGGGUAGAUGAGUUUUCCAGUUUUGAUGCUGCUUUUCAACUGGUAGAAGCAGUCUUCACAAGGUGAACAUUGGUUUUUAUUGGAAUCAUGUUCAGAUGGAUGCAAGGUUAUGGACUGAAUAAAUUACCAAAUUUACAAUAUAUGAAACUGAUUUCCACCUUUCGACUAUACAUAGGUGAAAACUUAAAACCAUGAUAAGCAUAUCAUUCAUUAGAAUUGAUUGUCAGUUAUGGUGCCCACUUGAGGGCGAUUGCUUGGAGAAAGAAGAGGUUGGAAUUUGUUGAUUUUCAAUUAACCCAACACACAGGAAGAGGAAAUACCAUUCUUCCCAAAAAGGAUACUCUAAGCCAAUCAUAUGCCACGUAGCAUCAUUUAAUUCCUUCGCGUGACUGCUAAUUUCCACUAACUGAAUUGCUUCUUAAUUUUGUAAAUUGACAUUAGGGAUUUACGAGAUAGCAUUGUCAUCCUGGCUGGAAUGUUCGGCACGUACCUUAAUAUUCUGGUGCGUCCACUUAGUAGUUCUGGUACUUAUCUUCAAAAGAAUUUAUUACACAUAUAAUUGAAGUAUUGCCACUAUUAUGAUCUUUCUAUCUCUUCAAUUUCACGAGUGAAAUUUGAUUGUGCUUUUUGCCUUUCUGGGGACCUAAUGCAGGCUCUAUGGGCUUUGUUUCUCUUGUUCUGUAGCUGGUUGGCAUUUGUUAUUUUUGAAGAUACGCAACAGGGAAAGACUAUAUUCACUUCAUAUGGUACCACAUUAUACCAAAUGUUUGUUUUAUUUACGACUUCCAAUAACCCAGAUGUCUGGAUUCCUGCAUACAAGUAAGUAGCUUUGAAACAUUGGUUUUUUAGAUUCAUCCUCUUCUCUCUUUCUAAUAUUGCCUAUUUAUUAUGCUGCAUUCCUUCCCCCUACCUUGCACCGUU